AUUAAAGUAGCUUAAGGAUUAAAGCAUAACUUUGAAGAAGUUAGUAUAAAUUUAUUUCUUUAAUA
rnacentral:tRNA from 1 species